UAUCUCUCCUAUAUUAUCAUUUUUUGGAUGAUUGAUAUAGGGACUUGGGGUCUAUAAAUCGUCGGAAUAUACUUUCAUUAGUAAUAACCCGGUGAACCCUUUAAAUAUAGUAAGCUCCCAUCUUUUUUGGAAAUACGCAAACUUGGGGAUGGCGUCGUAGCAAUCACUUUUAGUAUUGUCGAAACGCCUACUACCACUCCUAAUCUGCGGUGCUAAUCCAUUCGAGUUUAUGGGCGAAGCUUGACGACUGGCAAAGUGCCAUGCUCCCUUCAAUUUUUGGAGUACACGAACAA
rnacentral:misc_RNA from 1 species